CGCCCCUGAAAUCAACGUGCCGCCGCUCUUUCCUUCCUGACUUCAAUCCCAACACCAAUCCCUUCUCCUCCACCUCUUCCUCCAUGGCCUCAACCGCCUCUCGAACACAAAUCCUCCGACGCCGCCUCCGCCCCGGCAUCGCGUCUUCCACUAAAGUCACCACCAUAGCCGGCAUCGCCUUUCUCUUCAACGACCGAGUCAUCGACUCUCCUUCGCUCACGUUUCUAGGAAUGGAUCAAGAAGAUCAACGAGGACCUGGGAAGAAUAAACGAACAUGGAUAGUUGAGGAAGACCAGAAGUAGGUUGAUGCAUUAUUGGAGUUACACCAAACUGGAAAGUACAAUGUUGAUCGUGGUUUCAAGCCUGGACACUAUAAUGUUGUUGAGAUGUUACUUGCCAUGUCACUACCUAAUUCGGGGUUAAAGGUUGAUCCACAUAUCAGAUCAAGGAUGAAAACUCUUAAGACACAAUUCAGUAUUGUGUUUGAUAUGCUCAACUGCAGUGGUUUUGGAUGGGAUGAAACGAAGCAAUGUGUAACUGCUGAAAAAGAAGUAUGAGAUGAAUAUCUAAAGGCCCAUUAAAAAUGCUACACGAUUCAAGGAGAAAGCUUUUCCACACCUUGAUACCUUAUCUAUUGGGUUUGGAAAGGAUCGAGCGACAGGAAAGGGAAUGGAACACCCAUAUGAUGUUAUAGAAGAACUUGAUAGG